rnacentral:rRNA from 1 species
AGUCGAACGGCAGCGGGGAGGAGCUUGCUUCUCUGCCGGCGAGUGGCGAACGGGUGAGUAAUACAUCGGAACGUGUCGAGAAGAGGGGGAUAACCACCCGAAAGGGUGGCUAAUACCGCAUAAAUUCUGAGGAAGAAAGCUGGGGACCUAGGAAUAGGCCUAGCGCUUUUUGAGCGGCCGAUGUCGGAUUAGCUAGUUGGUGAGGUAAAGGCUCACCAAGGCGAAGAUCUGUAGCGGGUCUGAGAGGAUGAUCCGCCACACUGGGACUGAGACACGGCCCAGACUCCUACGGGAGGCAGCAGUGGGGAAUUUUGGACAAUGGGGGCAACCCUGAUCCAGCCAUGCCGCGUGUAUGAAGAAGGCCUUAGGGUUGUAAGGUACUUUUGUUAGGGAAGAAAAGUCAGCUGUGAAUAAUGGCUGAUACUGACGGUACCUAAAGAAUAAGCACCGGCUAACUACGUGCCAGCAGCCGCGGUAAUACGUAGGGUGCGAGCGUUAAUCGGAAUUAUUGGGCGUAAAGCGAGUGUAGACGGUUAUUUAAGCCAGAUGUGAAAUACCCGAGCCUAACUUGGGAGGUGCAUAUGGAACUGGGUAGCUAGAGUGUGUCAGAGGGAGGUAGAACUCCACGUGUAGCAGUGAAAUGCGUAGAGAUGUGGAAGAAUACCGAUGGCGAAGGCAGCCUCCUGGGAUAACACUGACGUUGAGGCUCGAAAGCGUGGGGAGCA